rnacentral:tRNA from 1 species
GGUAAGGUGGCCGAGUAGGCAUUAGGCUGUAAAUCUAACUACAGGGGUUGAGCCCCCUUCUUACCA